rnacentral:rRNA from 1 species
UACGGAGGAUGCGAGCGUUAUCCGGAUUUAUUGGGUUUAAAGGGUGCGUAGGCUGUUUGAUCAGUCAGGGGUGAAAUAUCCGGGCUCAACCUGGAGACUGCCCUUGAUACUGUCAAGCUGGGGUGCGGAUGCCGUUGGAGGAAUGAGUGGUGUAGCGGUGAAAUGCAUAGAUAUCACUCAGAACACCGAUUGCGAAGGCAUCUGACGAAUCCGCCACUGACGCUGAGGCACGAAAGCGUGGGGAUAGAAC